GGCAUUAUUUAGAAUGCAUUUACUUUUAAAGGAACUAGGCUACAGUAAAGUCUUGGAUACGGUGCUACUUUGUAGCUUAGGAAUAGUAACUCUUAUGGAGAACAAGGCUACUUGUAUAGCUCUCACGGUGCUACAUUGUAGCUUAAGGACACGACUCUUACGGAGAACAAGGCUUAUCAUAUAGCUCUUACGGUGCUACUUUGUAGCUUAAAGAAGUGGAUUCUUAAGGAUAAAUCUUAGCACUCAGCUGGAACGGGAACAAGCUCUUACGGUGGUCUCAGGACUUUCACAAAGAAAUAAAGAAACCAUCAGUACGCUACAACUGUCCGGCUGGGGUUUGCUACAAAUGUA